rnacentral:rRNA from 1 species
UACGUAGGGUGCGAGCGUUGUCCGGAAUUAUUGGGCGUAAAGAGCUCGUAGGCGGUGUGUCACGUCGGCCGUGAAAACCUGCAGCUUAACUGUGGGCGUGCGGUCGAUACGGGCAUCACUGGAGUUCGGCAGGGGAGACUGGAAUUCCUGGUGUAGCGGUGAAAUGCGCAGAUAUCAGGAGGAACACCGGUGGCGAAGGCGGGUUGCUGGGCCGACACUGACGCUGAUGCGCGAAAGCCAGGGGAGCGAACGGG